GACGAACGCUGGCGGCGUGCCUAACACAUGCAAGUCGAGCGGGGUUGAGGCGAGAGGUAACUCGAACUUCUACCUAGCGGCGGACGGGUGAGUAACGCGUGGGCAACCUGCCUCAAGGUUUGGGAUAACAGCCCGAAAGGGCUGCUAAUACCGGAUAUGCCUAUGGCCUCGCAUGGGGCUAUGAGCAAAGGGGAACCCGCCUUGAGAUGGGCCCGCGUCCCAUCAGCUAGUUGGUGAGGUAACAGCUCACCAAGGCGACGACGGGUAGCCGGCCUGAGAGGGUGACCGGCCACACUGGGACUGAGACACGGCCCAGACUCCUACGGGGGCAGCAGUGGGGGAUCUUGCACAAUGGGCGAAAGCCUGAUGCAGCGACGCCGCGUGAGCGAAGAAGGCCUUCGGGUUGUAACUGCUUUCCUACGGGAAGAACCCGUCCGACCGUGUCGGAGACGUGACGGUACCCGUGGGAAGUAAGACAUCGGACUAACCUCCGUACGCCACGCACGCCGCCGGUAAAAGUACAACCG
rnacentral:rRNA from 1 species